CCUACGGGAGGCAGCAGUGAGGAAUAUUGGUCAAUGGACGAGAGUCUGAACCAGCCAAGUAGCGUGAAGGAUGACUGCCCUAUGGGUUGUAAACUUCUUUUAUAUGGGAAUAAAACGUUCCACGUGUGGGAUUUUGUAUGUACCAUAUGAAUAAGGAUCGGCUAACUCCGUGCCAGCAGCUGCGGUAAUACGGAGGAGCCGAGCGUUAUCCGGAUUUAUUGGGUUUAAAGGGAGCGUAGGUGGGUUGUUAAGUCAGUUGUGAAAGGUUGCGGCUCAACCGGAAAAUUGCAGUUGAAACUGGCAGUCUUGAGUACAGUAGAGGUGGGCGGAAUUCGUGGUGUAGCGGUGAAAUGCUUAGAUAUCACGAAGAACUCCGAUUGCGAAGGCAGCUCACUGGACUGCAACUGACACUGAGGCUCGAAAGUGUGGGUAUCAAACAGGAUUAGAUACCCUGGUAGUC
rnacentral:rRNA from 1 species